rnacentral:rRNA from 1 species
UACAGAGGUCCCGAGCGUUUGUUCGGAUUCAUUGGGCGUAAAGGGUGCGUAGGCGGCGGGGCAAGUCUGAUGUGAAAUCCUGGGGCUCAACCCCAGAACUGCAUUGGAUACUGCUUUGCUAGAGUACUGGAGAGGGAACUGGAAUUUACGGUGUAGCAGUGAAAUGCGUAGAGAUCGUAAGGAAGGCCAGUGGCGAAGGCGAGUCUCUGGACAGCAACUGACGCUGAGGCACGAAGGCCAGGGGGAGCAAAACGGG